CAGAACACUGCAUACAUAAUAAAUAA
rnacentral:piRNA from 1 species